AUUGAACGCUGGCGGCAGGCCUAACACAUGCAAGUCGAGCGGAUGAAGGGAGCUUGCUCCUGGAUUCAGCGGCGGACGGGUGAGUAAUGCCUAGGAAUCUGCCUGGUAGUGGGGGAUAACGUCCGGAAACGGGCGCUAAUACCGCAUACGUCCUGAGGGAGAAAGUGGGGGAUCUUCGGACCUCACGCUAUCAGAUGAGCCUAGGUCGGAUUAGCUAGUUGGUGGGGUAAAGGCCUACCAAGGCGACGAUCCGUAACUGGUCUGAGAGGAUGAUCAGUCACACUGGAACUGAGACACGGUCCAGACUCCUACGGGGGGCAGCAGUGGGGAAUAUUGGACAAUGGGCGAAAGCCUGAUCCAGCCAUGCCGCGUGUGUGAAGAAGGUCUUCGGAUUGUAAAGCACUUUAAGUUAGGAGGAAGGGCAGUAAGUUAAUACCUUGCUGUUUUGACGUUACCAACAGAAUAAGCACCGGCUAACUUCGUG
rnacentral:rRNA from 1 species